rnacentral:rRNA from 1 species
AAUCUACGCUGGAGGCGUGCCUCAGACAUGCAAGUCGAACGAUUAAAGCUCUCUUCGGAGAGUACAUAGAGAGGCGCACGGGUGAGUAACACGUAAGUAAUCUACCCUCGGGUGGGGAAUAACGUCCGGAAACGGACGCUAAUACCGCAUAAUGCAGCGGCACCGCAAGGUGACAGUUGUUAAAGGAGUAAUCCGCCUGGGGAGGAGCGUGCGGCAGAUUAGCUAGUUGGUAAGGUAAUGGCUUACCAAGGCUACGAUCUGUAACCGGUCUAAGAGGACGGUCGGUGACACUGACACUGAAUAACGGGUCAGACUCCUACGGGAGGCAGCAGUCGGGAAUUUUGGGCAAGGGGCGAAAGCCUGACCCAGCAACGCCUCGUGAAGGAUGAAGUAUUUCGGUAUGUAAACUUCGAAAGAAUAGGAAGAAGUAAUGACGGUACUAUUUAUAAGGUCCGGCUAACUACGUGCCAGCCGCCGCCGUAAUAC